UAGCACAGGAGAGCUUGCUCUCUGGGUGACGAGCGGCGGACGGGUGAGUAAUGUCUGGGAAACUGCCUGAUGGAGGGGGAUAACUACUGGAAACGGUAGCUAAUACCGCAUAACGUCUACGGACCAAAGUGGGGGACCUUCGGGCCUCAUGCCAUCAGAUGUGCCCAGAUGGGAUUAGCUAGUAGGUGGGGUAAUGGCUCACCUAGGCGACGAUCCCUAGCUGGUCUGAGAGGAUGACCAGCCACACUGGAACUGAGACACGGUCCAGACUCCUACGGGAGGCAGCAGUGGGGAAUAUUGCACAAUGGGCGCAAGCCUGAUGCAGCCAUGCCGCGUGUGUGAAGAAGGCCUUCGGGUUGUAAAGCACUUUCAGCGAGGAGGAAGGGUUCAGUGUUAAUAGCACUGUGCAUUGACGUUACUCGCAGAAGAAGCACCGGCUAACUCCGUGCCAGCAGCCGCGGUAAUACGGAGGGUGCAAGCGUUAAUCGGAAUUACUGGGCGUAAAGCGCACGCAGGCGGUUUGUUAAGUCAGAUGUGAAAUCCCCGCGCUUAACGUGGGAACUGCAUUUGAAACUGGCAA
rnacentral:rRNA from 1 species